rnacentral:tRNA from 1 species
GGAGAGCUGUCCGAGCGGUUUAAGGAGCACGAUUGGAAAUCGUGUAAACGAGGAAUCGUUUCAUGGGUUCAAAUCCCAUGCUCUCCGCCA